GAAGAGGAAAGUGGAAUUCCAAGUGUAGCGGUGAAAUGCGUAGAGAUUUGGAGGAACACCAGUGGCGAAGGCGACUUUCUGGUCUGUAACUGACACUGAGGCGCGAAAGCGUGGGGAGCAAACAGGAUUAGAUACCCUGGUAGUCCACGCCGUAAACGAUGAGUGCUAAGUGUUAGAGGGUUUCCGCCCUUUAGUGCUGCAGCUAACGCAUUAAGCACUCCGCCUGGGAGGUACGUCGGCAGAACUCGUAACAACAAGGAAAGUUGUACGGGGGACCCGGGCCACAAACGACGGUGGGUAGGUAAUUGUUGGGUUUAAGUUUUAACGUCGUAGUCGAACCGAACCGGAACGGAAAACCGUUAACCCCUAACGGAACGUUACGUACGAACUGUUCGGUCCGGAAACGUACCUACGGUAGGGUAAACGAAACCAGGAAGGGUGUCCCGUUCCGGGUAGGGACGCCGGAGGUACGGUUCGGGGUAGGGGACGAACGGACGACCAACGAACGGGGAAGGUAGAGG
rnacentral:rRNA from 1 species